UUUUUUUCAUGUAUCAACUAUCUUUCACCAUAUUAUAAUAUCUAUCAUUGAUAUUUAGUAGUUGUUUUUAUAUUUUAAAUUAAUAAUUAAAUUAAAAUUAUGAGAUAAAUUAGGUUUCGUUUGGAAUUGCGGGAAGAUUGCGUUACGUGCGGUGAGAAAAUAUGAUGGAAAAAUACUCUAUUUGUUUGCGUUCCGCAUAUCGCGAUAAGACGAUAACAAUAUAUUUUCUGUGGUCCAAUCAGAGAAUGUAAAAGUACAUCUCUAUAUGCUUUUAUCCCAACUCUAUUUUAUUUAAUAGCGUGAGAUGAACCUCAAAACUAAACUAAGCCUUGGACUAGUGAUUGAAAUGGGGUUCCCCACGAGGUGCACACAAUAAUAAUUCAUCAUUCUCGUCAACAUCCACCCAUUUUAAUUGGAUGAUAUAAUAUGUAUAAUAUAUAAAAUAAGAGUUGUGCUAGAAUAUUAUUAGUAACAAAUGAGUUCCGUUACUACUGAGUUGUUUUUAAUGAUGAAACCUCCAAAUCGAUGAUCAACAUCAUUGAAUAUGAUCUAUAAUACUCGAAUUAUCUAAAAAUCAAAUUUCAAGUUUUUUGAUAUUAUUGACCUAAUGAUUAAAAGGGUGCAAAAGUUAUAAUUUUAAUAGUCAAUAUAAGAGGUUUGUUCGUUUAAUAAUGUAAACAAAUCUAAAUUAAUUGAAUUUUGAUUAAAAAAAUUUUUAAUCUUGUUCUUGAUCUUGAUUAUAAGAAUCAUAUUAUCACUUUUUAAAGAAUAUUUAUUUUUAGCCAUUUAUUUUUAUUUUCACUUAAUGUACAAGAGAGCAAUACCAAAAACACAUAAAAUUUUUAAAAAUUAAUAUCUAAAUUUAAAAUUUAAAAUUUUAGACUUAAAAUUUCAAAAUUUAAAUUUAAAUUUUAAAAUAUAAAAAUAUAAAAUUAAAAUUUGAUAUUUAAAUUUAAAAUUGAAAAUUUAAUAUUUUUAACUUUAAAAUUUGAUAUUUAAAAUCCCAAUUAGAUUUUGAAAAAUAGAUGACCAAACGCUCUAUUAAAAGAAAAUUCAUUUUUCGCUCUAAAUUACUUUUCCCAAUCUAAUCCAAACACCCAUGUAUUCUAACUAUACUUUGAUUCAUUAUAUGUAUAUAAUGAGCCUUGCAUACUCGUUAAUUUUAGGGUGCGUUUGGUUCGAAUUAUCCUGACAGGAUUACAGGCAAUACUGUCAGAAUUAUUGUGUUUGGUUCAUCUACUAUGUAAUCUAAUCAUUAAUAUAACAUUACAAAUCGAACAGGAUUACAUCGAAAAUAUUAACGAGAGAGGGAUCGUGUAUCUUGCAUUAUUGAAAACCGGUAAUACUACAUAUUAUGUAAAAUGAUAAUUUUACCCCGCUAAGUCCAGAAACCCUUUCACUACUUCAUUUUAAAAAUUUUAAUUUGAAAUUUUGAAUUGUCAACUUUUAAAUUUUAAAUUUUAAAUUUUUAAAAUUCAAAUUUUAAAUUUAAAUAUUAAAUUUGAAUUUAAAUUUUAGAUUUUAAAUUUCAAAUUCUAAAUUUUAAAUUUGAAAUUUAAUUUUGAAAUUUAAAAUUUAAAAUUUAAAUUUCAAAUUUUAAAUUUCAAAUUUCAAAUUUUAAAUUUCAAAUUUUAAAUUUUAAAAUUUAAAUUCCAAAUUUUAAAUUUUAAAUUUUAAAUUUUAAAUUUGUAUUUUAAUUUCUAAAUUUUAAAUUUAGAUUUUUAAUUUUUAAUUUUAAUUUUAUAUUUAUAUUUAUAUUUUGGAUUUUAAAUUUAUAUUUUUGUUCAAAUUUAAAAUUUAAAUUUUAAAAAAUUAAAUUAUUUAAAAUAAAAUUUAGUAAAAAAAUAUUAUUUGUAAACAGUAAAAAAAAAAAAGUUUACAAAAUAUGGUUAAGGGCAAUUUUGAAAUAGACUAUAUUUUAUUGCCUAUAUUACUAAAUUUUAUAGACAGAACCAAACAUAUUAAUGCUAUAGCCACUGCAAUUCAAUAUUAUAUUACUGUAUUAAACCAAACGCUCUAAUGCAGCAUAAAUAGUAAUCUCUUUUAGAAAUCUAAGAUAUCUGGAUAUAUCGAAAUACUCUGUAAUAAUAUAUAACUUGAACCAAACGCGCCUUAGUAGUAACAUGAACAUGAACAAAC
rnacentral:lncRNA from 1 species